rnacentral:rRNA from 1 species
AUGAAGGAGUUGGGUCUGCGAGAGGAAGACCUGGACGACGUGGUGUUCGAUGAGAAGGAUGCGCCCCCGGCGGCGGCGAGAUGGGUUGCCCUAACUAGGGUUAACACCAACAAGACCUAUAGUAGGACAUGGUUCUACCGCAACAUGAGGGCCGCCUGGGAUAUUGCACAGGAAGCAAAAUUCAAGCCUUUGGAGGAUAACUUGUACACGGUGCAAUUUUCUUGUUUGGGGGACUGGGAGAGGGUCAUGCAUGAGGGGCCCUGGAAUUUUCGGGGAGAUGUUGUGAUCCUUGUGCCAUAUGAUGGAAUAACCAAACCAUCCCUAAUCAAGCUGGAUUCUGUGGACAUAUGGAUCCAGAUACAUGAUGUGCCUGACCUGUAUGCGCAUCUUGUCGGACCUUUAGCUUCAAAAGUGGGUGAGGUGCUGCAUGUUGAACAACAAUCUCAGGACUUUGGUGGGAAUUUCUACAGAGUCUGGGUUCGCAUUAAUGUAGAGAAACCAUUGAAGAACGCGGUGCCAAUGAUCAGAGAAGGCAAGCGCCAGAUCUAUAGGGUGAAGUACGAAAGUUGGCCGGACUGGUGUGCCGUUUGCGGCAUGCUGGGGCACUUAUUCAAGGAACAUGGCAAUGGGAUACACCCCCUUCGGCCCUAG